UGUGUGUAUUGCUUCAUAAGAGCUUUGUUAUUGAAUUUGAAUAGGUUUAUAUUUAAUUUUAAGGUAAAAAUAAUGUAAUCGAAGUAAAAAACUUUAGAUAUUUCACAACUACCUCUUAGAAUAAUACUAGAUUUUGUGUCUACAUUUAUAUUCUAAUGCUAUACCCUUAUGCUGACCGGUUUUUACACAAACCAAUUGCUUACUUAACAAUUUAUUCAAGGAGUCUGCAGGAAAUAUUUGCCAUAUACCAGACUCAAAUUUAGCUAGCAGUAAAUCAAAGUUUUAAUAUUCAUUUUGUUUUUGUUUUAAAUUUGAAAUCCUGAAUGAAUAAUCCAAAGUAUUGCAUAGAAAACACAGAUAAAUAGUCUGUCAAUAUUUCAAAAAUUAUAUUGUGCCAAAUUUCAUACUUGGUAUUUUUGCACAAUGGGCUAUACUGGCUAAUAUUUUGGUUAUCAGCAAGAAAGAAAAAAAUGGUGCCAGUUUUGUGAAAUCAACUUCUGCUACAAUUUAUAACUGUUUAACCUAAUGCACCUAUUAUGGAGCUGUUAAAAUAUUUUAUCCCCUUUUUCUUUAUCCAGAGAUGUAAAUACUGAAAAAGAGACUAUUGUUGAUUUUUUUUUUAGAAACAUUCUGUGCAAUUUUUGUCUUUGAUCCAUUUGAAACACUUUUAUUCAAUGAAUCUAUAAUUUUAUGAUCUUUUAUAUUUUCAUAUUGAUGUUUUGUUUUAAUUUUUUUAUGCAUUUUUAUAUG
rnacentral:lncRNA from 1 species